UUUUCUGAUUGGUUGUUUGGAUGUCGUCAGGUUCCUUCAUUUAAAAUGAGGAACGUUUUGGUUACCGGUGGGUGGUCCCAAAUGCGAAAAGAUGCAUUUUAUUUUCACGGAUCAACGGCCGCCUUGGAAAAUCAUGUCCUGUUCUUGGCAGAGCGCUUUAAUAGUGAUCACAUUGUAUUCUUGAAUGCAGAUAUUAAUGUGAUAGCCAGUUGCAACCCAAAUGUUUUUCUUAUUCGUGGUUUCCAUUACUACAAAACUGGUUUCUGCAGCCCUAAGAAAUCAGCAUGUUGAAGAGUCAGCCUCCCACCAAAAAUGCCAAGGAGAAGAGCAACAGCGCCACCCUACUGGCCACACAUGGUGACUGGGACAAAGAAGGAUGUGGGAGGAUCUUAGGAGGCUGCAGCUCAGAGAAAGAUUCGGGCUACUCUGACAACGGGUCUGACCAGCAGCACACGGAUGCAGGGUUGCUACGAAGCAUCGUCACAGGCCAGUCCGGCCCCAAGGGUUACAGUGAAGUGCCGAGGCAGUGUCCUGUCCAACUCCCCGGCCAGGGCCCGCCUCAUCAGGCCCCACACCGCACUGAGACCGAUGCUCUGAUGCUACCAGGGAGCGAUCAUGUCAGCCCAGUCUAUAUCAUACAGAACCUGAUGCCCCACCAGGAGAGGUCCACAGUCCACAAGGCGGAUGUGAAACCUAUGAUGUGGACGAACCCCAAAGAUGGGUCUGGCGGCGCCAGCCCCGGCCAGGUGCUGCUAGUACAGCAGACCAGCCUGGCUCCAUCCCGGCCGCCUCUCUCCAAGCACCGCAACAAGUCCCAAACCCGCAUGGUUCUGGGCGCCGGGAGGCGAAAACCCACCUUCCUCCGCAUCGCCCCACAUCCCAGCAAGACAUCCCCGGAGAACAACUCACCGAGCCCGGGCCCGAGACAUCCCAGCAAGCGGGUGUUGUGUCCCGAGCUCAAGAGAGACGAGCCUGCAUCUGCAGCCAGCAGCUCCCGCCCGCCGCGUACCCCUUCCUCCUCAUCUGCCUUGCGGGCGACCAAAGGGACCAUCCCCGCCGGCGCAGCCUGCUACCGCCGCUUCCUCCACACCAUGAAGGCCCUGAGGCAGUCGGGUCUGCUGGACAUCACCCUGCGCACCCAGGAGCUCAUGCGUCGGAGCACGGCCUCUGAGCGCGACAUCGCCCAGCUGAGCCAGCACACCCGCCUGCUGAGCCAGCUGGCCGGCCAACCGGGCGCCGCUAGCCGGGUGUCGGACGGACACGCGCCGUGGGAGAGGCUUCACCAGGCCAUGGCCCAGUCAGGUGGCUACCCCAGCCUCAAGGCCCCGCACCGUGAGCCCCACUCACCGAGUCGCGACGGCGAUCUCCCCGUCUCCCCCUCAUCCUCCCCCACGCCCCCGCCCGGCCGAGCCAGAACACCACUGGUUCUGAACCCUCAGGGAAAGUCAGCUUCAUGCCUCCUGACAGUUCUACGGGUUAAGAAGUCUUCAGCGUCAGGGUGGAGCAUUGGUCUAAAACCCUUUGGUAAAGGUUAUGUUCCCGGGGCUAAAUGGGCUUGGUUAUUUUUGUACAUGUUUAUUUCGGUCCAAUUUGACUGUAAGACUGUAAAACAGUAGCUUUAAAAGCAAGUAGCUUUAAAGGCCAUCGUAAAUGGCUGUUGUUCUGUCUCAUGGCUUAGAGCUCCUUUCUCUUUUUGAAAGAGAAAUGAUUUGUAUUGGCCAAAGCAGAGAUGUGGCCUUGGUGCCAACUUUUAUUAAAUCAAUGCCUUAAAGAAAAGCUGAAGAUAGGCUGGUUAGCCGAUAAAAGAAUAAUGAUCUGAAUAAUCCAAGGGAUUUCCUAAGGGUUGUCUGCACCCCAAAUUCACAUGAGAUGCAGAGACUACUGUGCCUUUAAAAUCACCAUAGCAAUCAUAAAAUAAGUCAUCCGUGUGGUUGACAGAGGUGUUAUUUUUAUAGAGGGGAGAUGACGAUACUACACUUGUUGCCUUCCGAGGCAUGACUCAGAAGGCAAAUUGAUAAGGUGGUCAUGGAAAAGGAAAUGUGUGCAACAGAAAACUCUGGUAAAUUGUAUGUUGCAUCGAUGUAUGCCAAGACUGAGCCUUGAAAAUUCUAACUUAUUUAUUUGUCGCCCAUAAAAUGUUAUGAUUUGGGCACAUGCAAAUUAAAUGUAUGUAUUCGUGAAGUCCAGAUGUUUGCGUUAAUCACAAUGCAAAGCAGGUUUUGCAUAUUUAUACACAAAUUUCGGUGUAUUGGUAAUUGUGGCCAAACCAAUUUUUUUUUUGGUUAAAUAAUUGACUAUGCUAAACUAUUACUUUUCAUAACAUUUUGUGGUCACAAAGAUGAGACUUUUUUAACUGACCUUUUUUUACUUACUCUAAAUGACCUACACUUUUGCACCAUAUGCCUUCAAAUGCUGAUAAUACAGGAACUCAAUCAAUAUGACCUGAAUGAAAGCCUUAAUAAACUGGAGUGAAGUGACAUUAUGACCGUCCUUCAAUACUAAAUAAAUAUUAUAUUUAAUUUAUUAAUGAAACAUAAUUGCUCAUCUACAAUUAAUUAAUUUAUGUAUAGAUCAAAUGCACCAUUGAUAGUCCCAUUUCUCCAGACAACUGACUUUGAAUCAUAUCUUGAGUGAAAUUGAGAGGAAGGUAUGGGAGAUAGGGUUAGGGGGUUAGGAGGACAUGCAGCAAAUGACCACGGGCAGGUUUCGAACCCGG
ensembl:lncRNA